CAUGCAAGUCGAGCGAGAAAUUACUCAAUGAAUCUUCGGAAGAAUUGAAUAAUGGAAAGCGGCGGACGGGUGAGUAACGCGUGGGCAACCUGCCUUUCACAGAGGGAUAGCCAAAGGAAACUUUGAUUAAAACCUCAUAAAGCCGAAAUGUUGCAUAGCAAGACGGCCAAAGAUUUAUCGGUGAAAGAUGGGCCCGCGUCUGAUUAGUUAGUUGGUGGGGUAACGGCUCACCAAGGCGACGAUCAGUAGCCGACCUGAGAGGGUGAUCGGCCACAUUGGAACUGAGACACGGUCCAAACUCCUACGGGAGGCAGCAGUGGGGAAUAUUGCACAAUGGGCGCAAGCCUGAUGCAGCAACGCCGCGUGAACGAAGAAGGCCUUCGGGUCGUAAAGUUCUGUCCAUAGGGAAGAAACAAAUGACGGUACCUGUGGAGGAAGCCCCGGCUAAAUACGUGCCAGCAGCCGCGGUAAUACGUAUGGGGCAAGCGUUAUCCGGAAUUAUUGGG
rnacentral:rRNA from 1 species